UGCCAGCCGCCGCGGUAAUACGGAGGGUGCGAGCGUUGUUCGGAAUCAUUGGGCGUAAAGGGUGUGCAGGCUGGAAAGUGUGUCUGAUGUGAAAGCCCGGGGCUUAACCCCGGAAGUGCAUUGGAAACUGCUUUUCUAGAGGAUAGACGGAGAAGACGGAAUUCCACGAGUAGCGGUGAAAUGCGUAGAUACGUGGAAGAACACCGGUGGCGAAGGCGGUCUUCUAGUUUAUUCCUGACGCUGAGGCACGAAAGCGUGGGGAGCGAACAGGAUUAGAUA
rnacentral:rRNA from 1 species